rnacentral:tRNA from 1 species
GCCAGGGACGUAAGACUGUGACUCAGUGGCAAAGCUUCUGUUUUGCAUGCAGAAGGUUGUGAGUUCAGUCCCCAGCAUUUCCUGGCA